UACGGGGGGUGCGAGCGUUGUCCGGAAUCACUGGGCGUAAAGGGCGCGUAGGCGGUCUUGUAAGUUUGCGGUGAAAGCCCGGGGCUCAACCCCGGGUCUGCCGCGAAUACUGCGAGACUUGAGUACUGUAGAGGCUGGUAGAAUGCCGGGUGUAGCGGUGGAAUGCGUAGAGAUCCGGCAGAAGACCGGUGGCGAAGGCGGCCAGCUGGGCAGUGACUGACGCUGAGGCGCGACAGCGUGGGGAGCAAACAGG
rnacentral:rRNA from 1 species